rnacentral:tRNA from 1 species
CUUUAGCACUGUGAGUUGUGGUUUGUUUAUCGUUAGGGCUAGUUGUGUGGGAGA